GUACAUGUUCCACUUGCGCGCGGCCGUAGUCGAUUCGCAAGCUGACCCUUUCGCACCCCACCGGGAACGUGAUACGUCUCGGAAUGUUCGAAAAAUCAUAUAUCUCCAGAUAGAUAUCGAGGUCGUCGCAAAACAGCGCGCGUUUCGAAGAGAACCGCUUAAACUUAAAUAAAAAGAAAUGUGAUAAAUCUGAGUAAAACUAAAUCUUGAUUAUUUGUAGCGCGACUUCCGAAAGUUCUCUGAUUGACCGCGAAAGAAUUUAACGUGGUCAGCGCAGCGUCACCUUCGCGUGGCGAUUUGGAGAAAUCCCGAUGCGUUAUUGCGAGCUAUACGCGUGCCUUAAUCGCGAUGUAAGUGAAUGCGGUUUGCAUGUCAACCACCGUAACCUUUAACGUGCGAGGUAUAAAAAAAAACGAACAUGAACGCCAUUCAUUCAAUUGUCGCAAUGCCGUACACCAGAGAUAAAUUGCACAGUUAUUAUCCUUUUAAGCAAUUAUCGGUGUUCUUAGAUAAUUAGUUACUCAGUUAUUUUAUGACCGGCAAUUACUUUUCUCUUGAAUCUCGUCGUUAAAAGCUAAAUUCACGCACGCAAUAAAGUCGAAUAAUAAAGUUGAGAAAACAAGGUUAUAUUAAUACGCAAAUAAAUCAGCGUAAUUAAUACUGCAAUAAGAUUGUUAAUUUAAAGCAAACUCCAAGAGGGAAGAAAAUAAAUGAGGUUCAAACGAUGAAAAAAAUACAAUUGGAUUCCAAUUAAUGCGAUGUUUGAUAUUACUCAUUGUAUAACAAAUAAAGUAUUAAUCUAAUGAUUAAUAUCGCAGAUAAUCAGGUAAUUAAGUUUAGCAGCUAUUUUAUCGCACAAAAUAAGAUGUAUGAAAAUAUAAUUCAUUUUUAUCGAUGUUAA